CGUUCUCUGCGGUGUUCGAGUAGUGGGCUGGGUAACCCCUUGAUCCUAAUUGAUUAUACCCGGGGAACAUAGUCGCUGGCGUAGGUGUGCAUGUCCGCCUCGUUGUGGAAAGCCUGAUACGCCCCUCUGCUCCCCACUUGAACCACUCGGUUCAAGGGCAAGGUCCGAGACGGCACAGGCGGAGGGCGC
rnacentral:other from 1 species